rnacentral:lncRNA from 1 species
CAUUACUCGGUGGCAGAAGCAGGCUCUGUCUUGCUCUGAAACUCUAAGACAACUCACUACCUCUGAAAAGAUGUGGAGAAGUUGCUUACAAAGAAGUAGGUCAUGUGUUAAACAGGUCCUUAACCAUCUGUUGUAUCAGCCAGUGAGAAGAGAAAGUCCGGAAGAAGCACAGGUUCUUCUUACAAAGCCAUGGCCCAGAUACAGCACCACAUGUCCUCUGACUUGACUGUCCUGAACUCCAACUCAUGGUCACACCCAACUCCAACAAGAGUCUCAUAAGCAGGUUCUAGUUGGGAAGAAAUGCUUGAAUUUUAAUAAACAGUGUUCUCUGCUAUAGACAAGAU